AGGACAAGGUCUUCGCCUGCAAAGACAGUUACAAAGAGGUUGUUCACCGACGUAGAUGGAGGAAUCGCUGGCUCCAAGGAUGCUGCGGAUAGCGCUGCUGCCCCUAGCUCUACCAAAGAUGCUUAGUCACAGAGGGCCACAGGUCUUUUGGGCUCACAGUUGCAGCUGUUCGCUCUUUUGGAUGAUCGUUGUCUACUACUUUUGUAUCCAAGCUGCUAUGUACAUCUGCUUUUGGAAGGAGAUAUGAUACAUGUUCAUGUCUACACGCUCGAUACAGAUUGGCCCAGAGCACACUUAACAAGGUUACUACUAGAUCAGUGUUCGCCAUCGAUGCUAUGCACAGG